rnacentral:sRNA from 15 species
CAAACAUUGAGCAACUCAUACAAAUUAUUUCUGCAAACACUUUGACAUCCCUGCCAUUUCAUCUCUCUCUCUCAGUCAUUCCACCCACGAAUUACUAUCCGGCCGUUAUGUCUCGCUCACUCCACCACUUUUACAGAAUAUCGCGAUAAAGCGGUUGUUCAAACUUAUGGACGUAGGCGAUGAACUUCUUGGUGCUCGGCAGUGGGGAACUUACUAUUACGAUCGAAGUCAGAGGCUAGCUUGGCAGUCGGACUAGAUUGGAACACGGCCAUAGCCCAAAGGUAUACUUGCCCCAUCCUUUUCUAGACACAGCAUUUAGUGUUGUCCAAACCGGUACUGGCUUUGGUUGUGCAAUCUGUUAGCUCAUCAUCAUCGUUUUAGUUGCUUGUCAUUUGUCCACUGACCAGGUCCAACAGCUUUCCGGAGCCAUAACGAAAAGCCAAAUACCCGUACAAAUGCUGGCCAACGCACACUCGCAUAACCAGGACGAAGAGCCAGGACACAGGAAGCCCCUGAACGACACCAACAUGAACCCAACAGACAUCAACUGUGCCAGCUGCCCGUGCAGGGAAUCGGAGCCAAGGGAAAUACAAUUUGAAACCUUUGUUGCGGUCUUCCCUCAGUUGCGUAUCCAGCUCUCAGUAUUAUAUGGUUUUGCUCCUGCCCUCCACAGCUGGCACAGGCGAAUGGUUGAAUCUCUUACAUAGUUCCCUCCUACCGUGGGAAACUCCUCUACUGGGUCCUGUUUGGAGCGUGCUGCUUUAUUAUGAACGUCCCACAGGCGUUCAGGCGGAACAAUUCGACAUUAAUGGGAGAAAUAAUGCUGGAAAUCAGGACGGAUAUUCCUGACAGCCUUGACAUGGAUUGCAGCACCUUGCAGUCACUGAUGGUUGGAGCGAGGCUGCGGGAGUGGGCGCAGUCCCCAGCUCGUUGCCAGUUGAAGCAAUUGCAAUUAGGUGUAAUUACAGAGAGCUUCAAUCCGCUCCCACCCCCCUGGUGGGCAGAGAAAGUUAUCGCAACUUUUGACCGGAGCCAAAGGCGACGAGAGGAUUUUAAUUAAUUUCAUUACAGGCGAUGCCAAAAGUUUCCAAUAAUCUGCACGUUUUUCCAAAGGCUUGCAAAGUACGUUCUCUAUUCAAAGAAACGUGCCCCGAACCCCAUGAAUCAUUUAGUAACCUGAACUAGGAAUUUGCUUUUGAACUGGUCAUUCGUCACAGAUGAUGUGGACUUCCUUCAUGGAGGAGUGGGGGGAGAGAACUUCGACAUCCAAAUGGUGUAAAUGAACUAAAUGAAACUAAUCUGAACUAAUGGCCGCGCCUUGUGUUGGGAGCCAAUCAUCUCCUCCUCGGAAACCAGAAAAAGAGCUAGGUUUCAAUUCAUUUUGCUGGAUCUAACAAGCAUUUAUUAAUCUAUAAAAAGGAUAAUUGUACAAAAGAACUUAAAGAACAAUUUGUGGUGGCUACUUAAUUACUCGUACCAUUACGAUUUUUGUCUCUUGGGCUACACUGUAUGUGUGCCACAGUUUGGGUUUCAUGGUUUUGUAAUUUCGAUAUGAAAAAUGAAAUAAUUUCCUUCCUUGGAUUAGAUUUGUUUGUUUAAACGAAUUACGUUUUAAUUUCGGUCUUGCUUCUGUGGAUUGUGUGCUUGCAGAGUUUACGUUUGGCGUAUUUAAACAGCUCGGUGUUUGUGUGUUCUGUAUUGUGUGGUUGUUUGUGGUUAUUCAAAGGACAUCGAGUAAAUUAAACGUACAUACAAAAUAUUCUCUUUACAAACUAAUAUCAAAGUUUAGUUAUCAACAGUUUAAUUCGUGGCCGACGCAUGUAGCAUGCGCGCUCCUUGCUCUCUCAACUAUAGAUAUAUGCAUGAUCGCUGUACAUAUAUUAUAUUCUAUUCAGCGAACGGCUGUGUAGCGUGUUCCUCUCGCUAUUUCUGCGACCUGGUGUCACCUCUCGCUCGUUCAGACGUUUAUACUUUAGUUCAGUUUCAGGGGUGUAUGGUUGUAUGGGGGUGGAUAGAUGAUGGAUUGUUACAAGGCUGUUCUGAGUCUGUGGAGUCUGUUUCUUCUCUGGAUUUCUUGCUAACUUAUCCGCAAUAAAUGACUUUGUGUGCACCUUACGUGCGGCUAUCACAAUUCCAUUUUCGUUCAAAUUUCUUGUCUCAUUUGUAGUUGUAGUAGUUUCCACUCUCGCCCUCCAGAAUUAUCCUAGCAUAUAUGUAUAGUGUAAUAGUCUCGUUGCUUGCAACGCAUAGCUCUGCUGUCAACUAGUGUACAAUAUUGAAAUGAUUAGAAAUUAUAAUCAGGCGUUCAGGUCAGAGUUGGAAACUUUGGGGAUUGGUCUACGGACACAUGCCAUGCCGUGUGGCAUAUAGAUAGGUAAGGAUAGGAAGGGAUGCUCACCUUCCAGGCUAAACAAACGUAAAAAGUAAAGUAAAAAUACGAAAA